UAGUCCACGCCGUAAACGAUGUGUGCUAGUUGUCAGGCCCAAAGGGUUUGGUGACGGAGAGAAAUCAUUAAGUACACCGCCUGGGGAGUACGGCCGCAAGGUUAAAACUCAAAGGAAUUGACGGGGACCCGCACAAGCGGUGGAGCAUGUUGUUUAAUUCGAAGCAACGCGAAGAACCUUACCCACACUUAACUAUCCUCUUGGGACUCUCAGAGAUGAUUGUCUUCGGUUCGGCCGGGGAGUGAAUAGGUGCUGCAUGGCUGUCGUCAGCUCGUGUCGUGAGAUGUUCGGUUAAGUCCGGUAACGAGCGCAACCCUUAUUGUUAGUUGCCAUCAUUCAGUUGGGCACUCUAACAAGACUGCCGGUGACAAGCCGGAGGAAGGCGGGGACGACGUCAAGUCAUCAUGGCCCUUACGUGUGGGGGCUACAAACGUGCUACAAUGGUAGUGACAGUGGGGCAGCUACCUCGCGAGAGGAUGCUAAUCU
rnacentral:rRNA from 1 species